rnacentral:lncRNA from 1 species
CUUUCUUCCUGGCCACCUCAUCUCAAAACUCAGCCUCCUGUCCAUGCCAGAUGGACCCCAGGGCUCCCGGUCGUCUGUCAGGCCUUCCCAGGGGAUAUUCUACUCCGGAAAUAAGGCCAGAUUUUAAAAUGGGGAGGAAGGGAGGGAGGAAAAAAAAAGAGAAGCUAAGAAAGCCACCAUCUCUGUGUUCUGUCAGCAGAGUGGGUUGGAUUUUGGAGGCUGUAGCCCUGAUCCUGCAGGUUUUAGGUUGGUACAGCUCAUUGGGGAAUAAACUCAGCCCCCAAACUGGGGCCUACCUUGCUGAGAGCCAGGUGGGCCCCAGGGGAUCUUGGUGAGUGGGGGCUGGAGCACAGAGGGGCCAGGGACAGAUGGUAGGCCUUGCUCGGUGGCUCAUAGAUUGGUGACCUGGGACAUGGCUCCUCUACGCAGCUAAUUUCCU